rnacentral:lncRNA from 1 species
UCGGAUAUCAGGCAAUAAAAAAUUCAUCAAUCGAGCCAAAUCAAAUUUAAAUCGAACCAAAUCAGCAACUAACCUAUUUAGAAAUCUAAAAAUCCCUGUUUUGCUCUAACCCAAAAUCCCUUCUCCCUCUUCUUGAUCGCACCACAGCCCCCUCCCCUAUUCCCUUUGUUUACCGUUAACCGGAGCUCAAAGCUUCGUCGAUCUGACCACCUCAAAUCGCCUCUGGUCAGCGCUUUUGCCUUCGUCCUUGUUCAAGCGGUGCUAAUGAGAGAGACAGAGGUCGCUCGAGACAGUCCUCUUUCUCCUUUCUUUUGGCGUUUCCGGUGACCUGAGCUCAAGUCGCGCCUACCAAAGCUUCUUGUCGCCAUUCCUCCGUCACUUACUCCAUCUCCGGUUUCUCUCUUCCUCUUCCGGCAAGCGCAGUAGAGAGCGAGUCGUAGUCUGGCUUUUCUGGUCGAUCCAACCCGCUUCAGCGCUACUCUUUGCUUCUCCGGAAAGAUCGGCCACAAGCCGGCGUGACCAAUCAAUAAUUUUUUUAUUAUGUAUGUCGAAAUUCCUUGCUGUAUUUUUUUUUUGUUUAUUCAUGUUAUUCAAUAUUUUUUACCUUUGAACCUUUGAAAUCAUUUGUUUAG